UCUCUUUCCGGAUUCCAGGAAUGACUACGAAGUAAAAACUGAUGAACAUGGAAAGAAAAUAAAGCGACGGAACCUUUGAUGUCGGGGAUGUGGGUCCCGGUGAAUGACAGCCAUAGAGCGUUAUCUUCAUAAACAUUAUACGGUAUUAUUAUUAACCAUCUACGGGAUCGGGCUUGUUCCAUUACAGUGUGGGAAGCUGAAAUACUUCAAAUCUCGAACCAUGACUGGAGAAUAAAGAGAUCCCGAGACUGAUAAAUAGGUCUGCCAAAUAAAAUGGCUUCCGACCCCAACGACUCUGAGAGGAGCUGUCUAAACCCAUGUGACCUUGCCUGCCAAUGGGAACCCCUAAAUUCUUUAGUAUAUAGAGUAGUGGGGGAGGAGUUACCCCAGUU